rnacentral:rRNA from 1 species
AGUGAACGCUGGCGGCGUGCUUAAUACAUGCAAGUCGAACGAUGAAGUCCUAGCUUGCUAGGAUGGAUUAGUGGCGCACGGGUGAGUAAUAUAUAGUUAAUCUGCCUUGCACUGAGGAACAACAGUUGGAAACGAUUGCUAAUACCUCAUACUCCAACUUUACAUAAGUUAAGUUGGGAAAGUCUUUUCGGUGCAAGAUGAGACUAUAUCGUAUCAGCUAGUUGGUAAGGUAAUGGCUUACCAAGGCUAUGACGCGUAACUGGUCUGAGAGAAUGAUCAGUCACAUUGGAACUGAGACACGGUCCAAACUCCUACGGGAGGCAGCAGUAAGGAAUAUUGUGCAAUGGGGGAAACCCUGACGCAGCAACGCCGCGUGGAGGAUGACACUUUUCGGAGCGUAAACUCCUUUUGUUAGGGAAGAAUAAUGACGGUACCUAACGAAUAAGCACCGGCUAACUCCGUG